AGAUAAGCCACUGCAUUGCCCUAACUUAUUAACAACCCUCAACUCACAGCUAAUCCUCACUUCUCCAGCUUUUCUUGAAAUAAUCUAGUACAAGCCCAAAUCCUAUGAGAAGCCCCUUUCAAUUCCUUGUUGAGACCUCUACAGUUCCUUUGGAGUGCUUUCCCCGCUCCUGCAGCAAGACUUUCUUGCAAAAAUGCCUGUUUGGGAUUCCUCAGAGUACAGACAAAAAGGAAGGCUUGAUCAGCAUGUGGUGGAUCUGAAGAUUCAAAGAGGUGCCACAGCUCAAAAGUAGACAUUUUGGCAAAUGUGAAGAAGUGAGAUUCAAUGAAGAUGAUAAGAAAUGAAAGGUGUUACCAAAAAUGACUAAUAACAAAAGGGAAAAGCUACCCUCACAAGGAGAUGUCCAGUUGACACUAUCUCAACCAAAAUUAUUAAACAUAGCAUCAGCAAUCGUGGGACAAACAGACGCAAACAUCUCCUGGUGUGAGGCGGUGCAGAGGAAGGACUUGCUGACAUCUGUGAGGAAGAGAACAAUUGUGCAUGUCCAGAGACGCCAGUGCAGGAAAAGACCUAUCUGUGAAGGCGGUGUCCAGAGCAGACCCAGAUGUCACUGGGGGGUCCCUCCAGCAGGGUGGGGUCCAGCUCUUCUGACCCCAGCCCAGCCCCCUCCCCUGGACCCUGUAGGGUUGUUCAGCAAGAUUCAAAGCUGCAACCUGGGGGCCAGUAAACAGGGCAAUGCCAAGGCAGUGGGCAGGAGGGCUGGAGAGGGAUUUUAUCGACACUGAAGACCCGAGGACCUCAACUGUGGGAUGAGACCAGGUCCUUCAGGAGAACAAUCACAAGAGAGGGAAAGAGGAAAAGGACUAGAGCUAAAAAAGGAGCUCAUGAGUCAGAAAGAGGAUAAAAGACAGCCAGCAUAUAAGAGGAGAUCAAUUACCUGCUGGUGGCUGCCUGUAAUGGUGGAGUCUUCCAAUUCUGUGAAGCAAGCAUCAGAGUGUCCGGAGGAGCAGCGGUGAUGGGGUGGCCAUAAGAAGGAAAGGGGAGAGUUAGAGUCGAGAGAACCACUCAGACCCCGCUGUCCUGGGGCUGUGGAGCCAACCCCAGAGCCUCUGAUGUGCUCAUUUCUGGAGCCUUCUCCACAGCCUGUAUCAUUUCCUCUGUGCUAUGAGGGAGGGACCUCUGACUUCCCAUGUACUUUCCCAGCCCUCACAUUCCAUAACUGAGCCAAGGGAGGGGAAGCCGUGUCAUUCUGUUCCUCCAAGAGGCAGCGCCCUCUUCACAACGUUGUGCGUGACAUGGAGUUCCCUCCCUUCUCCUCCUGUAGGGCCUGUUUCUGUUCCCGCAUGAAUCCCAUUUCCUUUCACCCUGUGGACCUCCACCAGUCCUACUGUUCUCCAAAAUAAGAACACUGGAAAGAAGGUCAAGGCUGCACUGCCAGGGCCUCCAAUCAACCCACGGAUCGCACCCUGGGUCAGCAGCACCUCCCACAGGCCUGGGGUUGUGUUGGGGCCUGCGGGAGGUGAUGAUGGCCGAUGUCACUUAUACAGUGACUGUUCUAUGCCUGGAGUGACCUUAGAGACUUGGAAAAUAUUCAGCCCUCAAAAGAAUCCCAGCAGCUUCUGAAUAUUUGGAAACAAUGGAACAGAAUUCAAGGACUCCAGGAUGCUGGGGCACACGUAGGAAUCCCAGAGGAAGGAUUCCCUGUGUCAUCCGACCCAGGGAGCACCCUUAGAGCAGGAGCAGACAGUGAGGACAGGACAGGAAGGUGCUGUUGCAGGUCCCAAGAGUGUAGAGAAAGACAGUGGGCUCCUUUCACCUCCUGGCACACGUAUGAAGGACUUUGUCUUCAGGAUCACGUAGCGCCUAUGUGGGGCUGUGUCCCACCCCACACUCAACUUUACACCUGCAUACUCAUCUUGUGAUCUCUAUUCACAAAAAAAUGCUACCUCAUCAAAACCCAGGGCUCUGGUGCUUACUGUGGCAAAGGCAGGAAUGAUCUGGUCUUCUGCAAAAUGUAAUAUUUAAACACCAGAGCAAGAAAUGAUGGUGACAUACACAACUCGCACAAAGCCCAUGAGAACAAAACUCUUAGGACUUUCUCAUUAAGAUACAAAAAAUCCCAAGUCAGACUUCUACACCUGUUUCAUAUUUAGUCACUUCACUGAUCCCAUCCUAGGCUCCAAAAUAAGUGUAACCCAAUUCCCAAGAACCCUGUCUCACUGGUCAACCCUGGAGUGUUGGUCCCUACCUGACCAGUCUAUUUCCUCCUGGAUGGAUCCAGAGGUGGUGCCCAUGAGCCCAUGUACAGAGACACAAACAUUAGUACUACUGCUCUGUCCACUGUGAUUCUCCCUGGGCUCUGUGAACUCAGGGGCCUUUAUGAAGGCACUGCUCACAGUUGUGAGCCUUCAGGUAAGACAGAGGACCUGAAAUAAUCCCUUUCAACUGUUCACCGACACUGGCUCAUAGCAUCUCUUACCUCCAAUCUGAGAACCUGAGAUUCCAGCCUUGAUGCAAAUGCACUGAGUUAGGUGGGUGCAGAGAACAGAACCUGGGCCAGACUCACAGCAGCUGCUUCCCAGGUGAUUCUGGGAGAAUGGAGAUGCUCUCUUAAGAGUAGACUUUUGGCAACUGGGAACUUCUAGCAUGGCUCUUGUGAGGAGGUUAUGAAUUUUUUCAUUUAUUUUAACAUGAAUGGGCACAUAUGCCACUGAGGACCAUACUGGAAUGCACAGGUCUAAACCCAAAGAUGAGGAAGAUGUGACUCUCCCCCCUGGUGAUUCCUGGCAGAGUGGUUUGCUGCUGUGAUCUGAUCAUUCAUGGAUGGGUACUUCAGGGGCACAGGAACAAGCUCCAGGCCCCCUGUGAAGUGCAGGGAUGCCACAACAAAAAUAAAAAAGCCUGGUCCAGCAAAGGAGGACUCGUAAACAGAAAAACAGCCUCUUCUGCAAGGAGAAAAGCUGAACCAAAGUAGCCAGGGUAGAGAUGAGGGGGACACUUCAUUGACUUCAGGAGCCCACCCUAUUCUCCUGUGACCUUGGAUCAGAAUCCACUAAGGUUUCUAAAUUACUAUGAGAAACAACAGAUUGAAGGAGAUGAGCAGGAAGCCUUUUCACACUGGUGCUGGAUCUCAGCAAAGGGUUUGGAAGCAUUGGAACAUUACUGGGGCCCAAGAUGGGCUGCCCAGGGCUAAGCUCUGGGAUGAGAAGGAACGAGGAGGACAUAGUCCUUCCCCUCCGUGACCAGCCAUGGCCAGGAUUCAUCUACACAUAAGUAAAGCAAAACAGAGUUUAGGACUAACAAUUCCAAGACUAUCUCAGAGAAAAGGCAAAGUGAUGUCUUAUACAUCACACAGGAGAGUUGCAAGGACCACCUGGACUCUGGAGCAGCCCCACUCCCUUUGCUGAGUUCACCUUGCACUGAAGCAGGGUCUGUUCUCACCUCCUCUGCAACUAGUGUGGGGCAGGUAUCCUGCCUGAUGAUUAUUUCAUUAAAUACAAUAGAAUAUGCCACUGAUUAUUGUCUGCUUUUGAAAAGGAGCUGAGGAAUGAUUUCACCAUUCUAGACCAAAAGCCUGAGGACUGUGUGUGUUUUACAUUAAUGAUCACACUAAAGCCCACUGUGCAAUGUACCUACUCAAACAAACCCUGGGUUAGCUGACCAUUGAGACCAUCUGAUAACGAUAGUGUUUGGGAUCUGAAUAGCUUUUCAUUCUCCCACAUGCACACAGAAUUGCUGGAAUAACUUGGCCUAGCAAGAAAUUAUACCAGGGCUUUGUGACAAAUUCAGUGUACUAGCUCAUGGCAUUAACCUUCCACUCAUCCCCGAGUUCACAUGUGCCUCUUGCACUUAAAAGACCAAGAGCUUGGGAAAUUCAACUCUGCAGCGUGUCCAUCUGAGGACUGGGUAUAUUAAACUUAUCUUCAGGUACAGCUGUGGUGGACGAUGAAUGGGUUGAUUUAUGCAAACUGUGCAGUGGUGAUGGAAUUUUUCUUGGACAUUGAUCCUCGUGUUGUGCUUUGAACAUGGGAGUAUGUUUUCUGGGGAAAUGCACACACACUCACAAAGACAUCCACAAUCAUUCCAUAUAGACUCUCUCCUCUGUCCCUCCCAACUCUGAUGUACUACCCCACCUUACAUGACACUGCUGCUUCCAGGGAUGACAGUAGCAUGGUUAGAGUACUGGACUCUUAGUUUGUUGGGGUGUUUUUUUUUUUGUUUGUUUUUGUUUUUUUUUUUGAGACGGAGUUUCGCUCGUUGCCCAGGCUGGAGUGCAAUGGCACAACCUUGGCUCACCGCAACCUCUACCACCUGGGUUCAGGUGAUUCUCCUGCCUUGGCCUCCUGAGUAGCUGGGAUUGCAGGCAUGUGACACCACACCCAGGUA
rnacentral:lncRNA from 1 species